GUUAAGGUCGGCGGGCCCUGAGGGUCAGGGUGGAGGCCCAGAACACCUGAGUUCUCCACCUGCAGCUGAUCCUCAGCUGAGGCAGAGCCCUCAGUCACACAGCCAAUGAGGAGCCAAGUCAGGACUCGAGCCCAGCUCUGACAGGAUCCAAGACUAGACGAUCUCGCUGGACACAGUCCAGUUCUCAAACCGCUGGCACCUGGACUCCCAUGCGGGGACCGGCGGGCGGAGGGGGCCUGGUUGCUGGGGACCCCUCGCAGACCCCUGAGGAAGCAGCAGGGCAGGCGGAAUAUAAAUGCGGCUGUGAACGCGGAGGAACAGAUGAGAGCGAGCCUCCAGGUGACUGGGUGGAGAGGACCCACCAGGGCAGCCGCCUCCUCUCUGCGCACAGAUUGAGCCCAUGAUGAAGAUGAAUGGAAACCCCUUUGCUGGAAAAUGUGGAGGCAAUCAAGACGGCUACCUGCGCCGAGGGGCCCUCCCACCAGCUCUGAGCAGGGAAAUGUUAGGAUUCGGAAUUUCAGCAGCGGCCACGUGGUUAGCACGGAAACCAGGCAAAACUCGUGACAAGCGGCCCCAAUUACAGGAUAAAUGAUACAGGACGCCCGUUCGCUUGGCAGGAGUUAGCGGACUCAAACAGCGGCUGCGGGCGGGUAUGGGGCAGCCCCCGCAAACAGAUGACAGCUUGCACAAAGCAAAGGCAGCCCAGACUGGUCCCUUCACCAGCCCACGUCUCAGUUUCCUCAUCUGUAUAGUGGGUUCAUGAUCCUCCGGCUGUCCAGAUUCCUGAGGAAAACGGGGUGACAGAUGUUCAGUGGCUGUUCCAGAGCGCAGACAGUGGCUGUGUGUGAAGAUUCUUCGUCAGCCCUCUGACUCUGCCGCUGUACAGGGGGCUGCCUGCCCAGUGCCGGGUGGAACUGGCCUGAGGUCUCCCACCCGUGCCCCUGGGAGCCCCGGUGUCCCUCUGGGGCAGGUGACCUGCUGUCUCAAUUUUCCUAGGACUGAGGCAUUUCCUGGGAUGUGGGAUUUUCGGGAUUAAAACUUAGUUCUAGGCAACUCCCACAGCUAGUUACUCUUUGCUCAGAGUCCCCCUAAACCCUCCUUAUCUAAGUGCCCUAAAAUUAAAGUGGAAAAUAGAGCUAACUUAAUCUUCAGUCCUUGCAAAUGUCUGGGAGGCCCAAAGGUUAUUUAUUAUCAUCAAUAAAUUAUA